UCAGAAGUAUCAAAUCAUGCAAAGACAUAAAUUUAUUGCGUUUACUGUCACAUCCUUCUUUAAAAAAGUAAAAAACAAAACAAAAACAUAAAAUUGGGAGAAAUGCCAAGCCUGCUAAGAUUAUUUUACAAAAAAUAUACAAGAGAUCCCAACUACGCUAUUUGUGUACGCACCAUUUACUGGUUAACGUAAUAUGGAUGAUACGCAAUUCUUGUGAUAAUAUAAUGAUAAAAUGUACACGGAUACCUAUAUUUAAGUAGCUAAUUAAAGACCUAAAUAAACUUGCAGUUUCUUCAAAUAUGUCAAAAAAACUUAAAAAUACCAUUCGCGUCGAAUUCUGACCAAUUGACUAAACAGAGCUAUCUCUUUCAGAGGUAUACGGUAAAUCGCUCUGUCGCAACUUCCGAGCUAGUGCAUGUCGCGAUAAAAGACCGUCAACAAAGAUUGUGAGAGGUUUCAGCAGUUGAAUGUGUAAGUGCUUAAUGCCUUACUCAUAGUGUCCAUGCAGGGACAAAAAAUGAAUGACUUUAAUUUCAGUGGUGCAGUAAAGGAAUGGCACAGUGCCAAACACAGACACUUAUAUGAAAAAAAAAUGCCUAUGUGUUGUUAGUAUUAGUACAAAAGAAGUGGAAGGACAUAUGUGUUGUUCGAAAAUACUUAUAAAAGAAGUGGACAUCUGUGUAGUGUAGUUGAUUGAUGGUUAUAUGAUUAUGUGAAAAUGUAGAAGUAAUGAAAUA